rnacentral:rRNA from 1 species
GACGAACCGUGCGAACGUUGUUCGGAAUCAUUGGGCUUAAAGGGCGCGUAGGCGGGCUGCCAAGUUCGGGGUGAAAUCCUCCCGCUUAACGGGAGAACGGCCUCGAAUACUGGCGGUCUCGAGGGAGGUAGGGGCGUGCGGAACUAUGGGUGGAGCGGUGAAAUGCGUUGAUAUCCAUAGGAACUCCGGUGGCGAAGGCGGCACGCUGGACCUCUUCUGACGCUGAGGCGCGAAAGCCAGGGGAGCGAACGGG